rnacentral:lncRNA from 1 species
CUGAAAGGACAAAUGGCCACAGCUGCAGAUGAUUCAGGAUGAGUCAGCACUGCCUUGCUGCUUGAUAGCUUUCUCUAAGAGUUCAAGGUUUACAAAAUAAAGAGCCAGGAAGGAGUCAUUCCUCAGUAAGUUAUGGAACACUAGUUUCAUUAAGCAACAACAGGCAAGAACAAGUCAUUGGUGUAGAUGUAAGGCAACUCAUCUUCAACAACAAGCAGAAUCUUUCUAAGUAGCAGAAACUUCUAAAGAG